rnacentral:rRNA from 1 species
AGGAUCAUUAUCGUACAAUGGAGGUGCAAGGGCUGUCGCUGAUCUUUAAAAGGUUGUGCACGCCCUGGUACUCUCUCACACAUCCAUCUCACCCCUUUGUGCAUCACCGCGUGGGUGACCCCCCUUACGGGAGGGCUCACGUCUUCACAUAAAACUUAAUAUAGUAUAGAAUGUUUUCUUUUUUGUUUGCGGUCACACGCAAUAAAUACAACUUUCAACAACGGAUCUCUUGGCUCUCGCAUCGAUGAAGAACGCAGCGAAAUGCGAUACGUAAUGUGAAUUGCAGAAUUCAGUGAAUCAUCGAAUCUUUGAACGCACCUUGCGCCCCUUGGCAUUCCGAGGGGCACACCCGUUUGAGUGUCGUGAAAUUAUCAAAAACCAUUUCUUUCUUUUAUAGAAAAGGAUUUUGGACUUGGAGGUUUGAUGCUUGCUCUUGUCAAUGAAAGUGAGCUCCUCUCAAAUGAAUUAGUGGGGUCUGCUUUGCUGAUCCUUGACGUGAUAAGAUGUUUCUAC